rnacentral:rRNA from 1 species
GUGCCAGCAGCCGCGGUAAGACAGAGGUGCCAAGCGUUAGGCGGAAUCACUGGGCUUAAAGCGUGUGUAGGUGGAUGUCUAAGUACCUUGUGAAAUCCCAUGGCUCAACCAUGGAACUGCUCGGUAUACUGGAUGUCUUGAGCCACUUAGGGGCUACCGGAACAAAUGGUGGAGCGGUGAAAUGCGUAGAUAUCAUUUGGAACGCCAAUGGUGAAAACAGGUAGCUGGGAGUGUGCUGACACUGAGACACGAAAGCCAGGGGAGCGAACGGGAUUAGAUACCCUCGUAGUCC